GACGAACGCUGGCGGCGUGCUUAACACAUGCAAGUCGAACGGAAAGGCCCUGCUUUUGUGGGGUGCUCGAGUGGCGAACGGGUGAGUAACACGUGAGUAACCUGCCCUUGACUUUGGGAUAACUUCAGGAAACUGGGGCUAAUACCGGAUAGGAGCUCCUGCUGCAUGGUGGGGGUUGGAAAGUUUCGGCGGUUGGGGAUGGACUCGCGGCUUAUCAGCUUGUUGGUGGGGUAGUGGCUUACCAAGGCUUUGACGGGUAGCCGGCCUGAGAGGGUGACCGGACAAAGUGGGAGGGAGAAAAGGACGAGAGGCAGAGGGGAGGCAGAAGUGGGGAAUAUGGGAGAAGGGGCGGAAGGGUGAAGCAGCAACGGGGGGUGGGGGAGGAGGGGCGGCGGGGUGUAGAGGGAGUGCGGCUGUGAAGAAGUGUGAGUGAGGGGCAGGGGUAAAGGAGCACAGGAGAGUCAAAAC
rnacentral:rRNA from 1 species